CAGACUGCCAUUCAACAGCUCAAAAGGAAAUAUUUGGCACGGGAUGAGAAAGAACGUUUGGAGCAAGAUAAGCUAGACCAUCAUUCCAUUGAACAACUUGGUGACUGCAGCGGUAGCUGGAAAGAGAUGGGUGUAUCAAAGAUUAUUGAGACAGAGAAGCAACCCUCCCAAAUCAGUGAACAACUUGAGCUUUCCCAUAAUCAGCCGAGAGGAGCUACACUCCGUGGUUUGCCCAGUGAAGGUGAAACAGAUAAUAUGUGUGGUGCAUUGUGGGACAUUUUUAGAAGGGAGGAUGUCUCCAAGUUAGAAGAAUAUUUAAGAAAGCACUCCAUGGAAUUUAGGCACACUUACUGCUCCCCAGUAAAACAGGUCGUCCAUCCAAUUCAUGACCAG
rnacentral:misc_RNA from 1 species